GCCGCACUAGUGAUUAGAGUUUGAUCCUGGCUCAGGACGAACGCUGGCGGCAUGCUUAACACAUGCAAGUCGAACGGAGCACCCCUGAACGAGGUUUCGGCCGAAGUGACGGGAAUGCUUAGUGGCGGACGGGUGAGUAACGCGUGAGCAACCUGCCUUGAAGUGGGGGACAACAGUUGGAAACGACUGCUAAUACCGCAUAAUAUAUCUGAGUCGCAUGGCUUGGAUAUCAAAGAUUUAUCGCUUCAAGAUGGGCUCGCGUCUGAUUAGGUAGUUGGCGGGGUAACGGCCCACCAAGCCGACGAUCAGUAGCCGGACUGAGAGGUUGAACGGCCACAUUGGGACUGAGAUACGGCCCAGACUCCUACGGGAGGCAGCAGCGGGGAAUAUUGGGCAAUGGGCGCAAGCCUGACCCAGCAAUGCCGCGUGAAGGAAGAAGGCUUUCGGGUUGUAAACUUCUUUGACAGGGGAAGAGCAGAAGACGGUACCCUGAAAACAAGCCACGGCU
rnacentral:rRNA from 1 species